GUCAAGGCUCUACGGGAUGAGAGAUUCAGUCACGAGGACAGUUCUCAACAGGCCAAGAGAUUCAGGAAAGGGCAGACACACCAUCCUGGGAAGAUGGGAAGAGUAGGAUGUGCAAUUGUUCCAUGUCAGUCCAACUGAUGCAGGCCACCAGGAGAGUGGUGUCACCCUUUUGUGGUCCUGAGAUCCUGGGCUUUCCUUUCAAGCUGCAAUGCUAAUAAGUAGAGCAGGGAAAAUCCAUCACUCUGCAGGUAGAGUCCUGGCCGGCAUCUCUGAGAAAAUCCCAGGAGCAGCUGGUCUCCAAGCUGAGCAUGAAAGUUGGCAUCACAAUUCAUUCAGCUCCUGAGAGGAACCAGGUGUGGACACCAGGUCUUACUGAGGAGGAUGCUAAUAUUGGUGCUGUCCAUCUUCCCUGUAUGAAUUGGAAAUGAAUAUGCCAAUACAUUAUCUCACAAAGGGCAGUCAUAAAGAGGAACAGUGAGUAUUCUGAAAUGAAUAUUUAAUGGACAUUCUCCUGUAGAGGUUAGCCAUUGUUGGAAAUGCCUCCCUAGGAAAUCUUUGUUAGCCAGUGGUUUGUGAGUGCCCUUUCCUGGACACCACCAUAGGACAGCUCUCCUUCUGUGUUUGAAACAGUGGUUCCAAAAAACAAUGGCAGACUAAUCUACAUGUUUCCCAAACUUUAAAUAGUUGUCCUUUACUCCCAGGUCUACAAGAUAUCUGCCACAAAAACCUUUCGUGUAGCAGGAUGUCAU